UCCGACCUCUAGUGAGAAGCCCUGGGAGGUGUUGCUCAUUACAAGAACCCAGGAAAGGGCUAAGGAGAAAUACUCCACCUAGCUGCCUCCUUCCUACCACAGUCUAUCUUGUAGGAGUGUGUGCGGAUCACUAGGCCCAGAGUCAGGAGCCAGAGACCUGACAAGGGCUUGGAAUUAUUAUUUGGAUUUUGUUAUCCCAAAGGCAGUGGGAAUAAAUUGUGGCCGGGCUGGAAAGCCAAGUUGUGAGAAGAGGCUGACCACCGUGAGACCAGAAUGACCGUCAGCAAGGGGUGCAUGACAGAGUUGCUACGCUGCGCCUGGCCAGGAGGUCCUUAGCCUGCCCCUGGUUCACCAGCUGUCAAUUCCUUUGAAGCAGGAGGUGGAAAUAAUCCCACAAUGAGGAAUAGAGAGGAAUUAAAAUAUGCAGAAUCCUCGAUGCUGUGGGGAGGAAGAUGCAUGACCAGCAGGGAAUCCAAUGAGAUUCGCCUUGCAGAGAACAACAGUUUCAGGUCCAUGUUGAAGCCACUUACCCAGUGGGGCAUUUUCCCCGCUUGUGGAUCAUGAUGAUGAAACUGAAGAACCAGGACGGUUACCAC